rnacentral:lncRNA from 1 species
UUUUUUUUAAGUUUUUGUUACACAUAGAACCGCACACAACUUAACCGUAGUAACCGUCUGUGUUAUAAUUUCCCAUCGCAAACAGUUCAUUCGAGUGGGUUGUUUGCCGCUUAUCACACACAUCUUGUUUACAUGAACCGUUUGUGUUCUUUUGGCUCACCACAAACAGUUCAUCUAUGUGAAUUGUAUGCCGCAUAUCACACACAUCUUGUUAGGUUGAACCGUUUUUGUUCUGUUCCCUAAUCGAAAACAGUUUGUUAGAGUGAACUGUAUGCCGUAUAUCACACACAUCUUGAUCUGGCUGACCGUUUCUGUUGUGUUUGCUAAUCACAAGCAGUUAAUUCAAGUGAACUGUAUGUCGUAUAUCGCACACACCUUGAUAUGGCUGCCCAUUUCUGUUGUUCUGUCUCAUCACAAAUAGUUCGUAUGGAUCAACCGUAUGCCUUACAUCGCACACACAACUAAAAUCUGAACCGUGUUCGAUGUCUCCGCCAUCGCAAACGCUUUGCAUCUUUUUUGACAGUUUUUACAUCAUCGUUUGCGAUUAAUGCAUCACACAGUUUCGUCAAAGGGCCUCUGAUCGUAGUGUCGCAUUAGUAGCAUCCUGCAGUAGUGGUAUAGGGCAUGGUUUAUCCAGCAACUCAUCUAGAACUGUUCUGGGUCUGUUUUGAUUUUCGUCAGGCUCGUGUUCGGGCGACCGUCGCGUAUAUGCUCAUUUUGCUUGGGCUUUUCUUGGCUGUGUGGCAGGAACUGACUCCAUGUGCAUUUGCUGCGACUUCCAAGCGCUUUCCAUGGUGCAAUAUUUGCGGACCAUGUCUGAUAGUUCGGUGAAGCUUUGCACGUGGUGACGGGCAAGGGCGUUCAGGAUUCCUUCAUCCCGGUAGUUGAAUCGGAAAGCUUCAAUUAUUUCUUUGUCACGGCAGUCCGUCAUCUUGUUUUUGAUGACGAGAAAUCUAGCCCAGUAAUGAUGGACGGUUUCUUAGGGUUGUUGUUUGACGUACAUCAGGUCCUAUACAUCCAGACUUCCCGCGUCCGAAGAAUAUUCGGUGUGGGAGGUGGGUGGGAAACGUUUACACAUUCCUGAAUGUUGUGAGUCCAGAGUGUUGGCAGCGGCGAACCGUGCUUGGACUAUAUCCGGAUUUGGUCGCAGAGAGUUCGAGCGCAAACCCGUAGGUGGUUGGGCCGACUCGAGGUCGGAUCCAGAAUUGUAGGCUGAGUCUGAGCUCUUUUCUUGACGGGUAUCUGUCUCCGGGCUAGAGAUCCAGGUAUAUAUUGUUUUCAGCUUCGGAGAUCGUGAUCCCUCCGCCGUUUCUUUGAUGGUACCGAUGAGGUGUGUGCCCGGCGGGGUGUGGAUCUCUCUGUUGUCGGGUUUAAGCACGAUCUGGUUAUUGGCCGUGGGCCUGGUGAGGGAGAUCCCCAUGGAGAGGAAUAGAUCUGAGAGGUCGUCAACCGAAGUGGUUCCCGUCGGAGCUAUGCCUUCUGGGUAUUCGGCGAGACGUUUUUUGAAUAUUUUGAUGGGGUCCGGCUUUUAGGCAAAAUUCUGAAUAAUAUUUGCCCCCUUCGCGCCUGCUGAAUUCGAGGUCAAGGCAUCGGUCUCGGUAGGUUUUUAUGCAGGAGUAGCGGAUUCGAUAGGAACAGGGCUUCCCCGAGGGUCGGUGCUAGACUCUAAGUUCCUGCGACCGGCCCCGCGAUCAGGGGUGAGGUUCUGAACUUGGUCCAGACGACCGGUGAGGUCGGAGCGUAAUGUGAUGCUGCCGAACAUGAAGAUCUGGCCGGGAACGAAGAUGUCCCUGGCGCAAACAGGGCUUCCAGCGGAUGGUUGGGCCAUCGAUCCUUUGGCAAUACCGCAGCACAAUUAUCAAUGAAAGCACCAAUGUCAGUGUCAAAACCUGCGGAUAUCGGGUAGGGGGUCUCGAACUGGAGAUCUAGGAUCGAUGGGGAACAAGGGACGAAGAACACGGUGUUUACCCAGGUUCGGGCCCUCUCUAAGAGGUAAAAUCAUACGUCUUGCUUGAUUGUAUUGAUGUGUAUGAUAUGAUUAUAGAGUCGAUCUAUCUCAAGAUCAGGCGAGCUAAACCCUAGGUUGAUGGGGGAUUUGAUGUUGCUCUAGCCCUAAAGACUAAAACCCUCUGGUUUAUACAGGCACUAGUAGGUUAGGGAUACAUGCGGCUGAUUACAACAAAGGAAAGCUCAUGCUAAAUCUUGACUUGAAGGUCACUCCACGACUCCGAAGAUCUCCUAUCCGUACCCUAGCUUGGCUCCACUGUAGCCCAUCAGUCCGGCCCAUAAUUAAUGGGCCGGCGGCCCGAGGACCCCUUAAUCCAGGACUCCCUCACUAAUCGUGUGCAUUGAGCAUUUCAGAUUAUCAAACAUAUGGCACAAGACGAUUCGAGCCCCUCGGGUUUCAGAGUGAAGACAGUUUUCUUUCCUGCGUUUCUUUUUUGGUGGAUUUGUCAUAGGUAAAACCAUACUAUCAAGAGGGGGUCCACUUCAAAAAGGUUUGGGUGGAAUCAUCACAUACACGCUCUUAUUGCAGUCAUCUCAUCUUUCCGCCACUUUGGAGUAGUCCAUUUGUGUUGUUGAAGAAGUGGUGGAGAGCAGCAAGCAAUAAUACCACGGGGGAGGGGGGCAGCGGUAGUAUCGCUUAUAAGCGGUAGUACCGCUGCUAGACCCGCUUGUACUACCGCUCUCUGUUGGGGUCGCGUCUUCUUGUGUCAGGUUCUAUGGUAGUACCUCUGUGUUUCUACCAUGUAACCUUAUUAGACCAGCAGGACGAGCGGAAGUAGUAGCGGCAGUAGAGGCAGUAGUACCGCAUGUAGGCGAUAGUACCACCCCUACCACCACUCCCACUACUGCUUGGCGCCCUGUUCUCCCCUGUUUUCUUAUUUCUCCUCCACAUACUGUUGGAAGCGGUAGUACCGCUCCCAGAGCGGUAGUACCGCUUGUGUGCGGGCUGAGAAAAGCAUAGCGGUUGGAUUUGUUCCCACUAUAAAAGGGGGUCUUCUUCCUCAAGAAGACUUACCUCUUCCUUCCCCAAACUCCAUUUUGCUCCAAAGCUCAUUUUCGCCUGAUCUCUCUCCCUAUCCAAUCAAACUUGUUGUUUUUCUAGGGAUUGGUUGAGAAGGCCCCGAUCUACACUUCCACCAAGAGAAAUUUUAUUCCCCCACCAAUACCCUGCCGAUCUUGUUACUCUUGGGUAAUUGAGCACCCUAGACGGUUGGGGUCACCUCGGAGCCACAUUCCAUUGUGGUGAAGCUUCUGGUGUUGUUGGGAGCCUCAAAUUAAGUUUUGAAGAUUGACCCAACCUUGUUUCUAAAGGUCCGGUCGCUGCCUUCAAGGGCACCACUAUUGGAAUCACGACAUCUCGCCUUGUGUGAGGGCGUGAGGAGAAUACGGUGGCCCUAGUGGCUUCUUGGGGAGCAUUGUGCCUCCACACCGCUCCAACGGAGACGUACUUCCCUUCAAAGGGAAGGAACUUCGGUAACACAUCCUCGUCUCCACCAGCUCCAUUUGUGGUUAUCUCUUACCAUUAAUUUGUGCAAAGCUACUUUUGUGGUGUAUCCUUUGCUUGCACUUGUUGUAUUUGUUGUUAGCAUCAUAUAGGUUGCUCACCUAGUUGCACCUCUAGAUAACCUACUUGUUGCUAAACCUGAUUUGUUAAGAAAAGCUAAAAAUUGGUAGUUGCCUAUUCCCCCCCCCCUCCUCUAGCCAACCAUAUCGAUCAUUUAAAUGGGGGGCUCGGGAAGGUCGGAUGUUGUCGAAGACGAGCGAGACGAGGCGGCGGUCGAGGUGGAUCCCGGCGAGGGGAACGGCACGGGCGACAUUGCUGGUGCUCGCCGGUAUCGAUCUUGCGAUGUAGAGGAUGAGAAGAACCCCGCGAAGCUUGUGGACACAACAGCAGGUCGUGUGGUGGCUGAUGGGCGCGACAACGAGGCAACACGGCAACGACAGCGUCGGACGCGACUGGAACGAAGGGGUGAGAGGCGAGCGAGGGGGGUUAGGGUUACGUCGGGAGAGAGAAGCAGCGGGGGAAGGCCUUAUUCACCGCGAGGAGAUGGCAGAUGGCAGACGCGUGCGGUCACCGCGCCAUGGACGAGAGGCAGUCGUCCACCGCGCCCUGGAUGAACAGGGGAGGCAGAAGACCUCCUCGUGGGUUGGGCCAUGCGUUGUGGCCACUAGGGCCCAGCCGCACAGUAGGUUUUUUUCUUUUUAGUUUAUGUUUUCUAUUUUCAUUAUUGUUUUUCAUUUUUCUUUCACAAAAACUGAAUUUUGUUUAACAUGAAAAUUGUCUCAUAAUUACUAUGCAAUAUUUUGGAACUAUCCACAAAGUUCACAUAUUUUUGAAAAGCAUAAGUAUUUGUUUAUUUCAAAAUGGCCAAAUUAAGUGUUGUUAGGCCACCUUAAAUAUCUCUAAGGGCAUUUGGGGAAUUCAAAUUAUGUUGGUUUCUUCAUGAAUAUUAGUUAGUGAAUAUUUGCAACACAACGAACAUUUUUAUUUUGUUGUCUGAAUAAAUAUUAUUUUCGCUUUGUUUUAAAUUUGAGUUUGGCUUGAAUUUUGAUCAAGCGACAAUUGGAUUAGCAAAAAGGUGAUGGCAUGGCACCAUUAGGGGAAGAUUAUUGUAGCAUGAUUAUUGGAGUGUUAAAAAUCUCCUCCACUACAAGAAAUCUCAUCCCGAGAUUUAAGAGGUGGAGUAAGGGGGAAGUUUUGGUUCGAAAUUCUAAUGGAUCUUCUCGUUCUUGGUUGUUGUUCUCAAAGAAGUUGAUCCCUCUCGUUGAUGUCUUCUUUUCUCUACUUUAGGUCAUCAUGAUGAAGUCGUCAUCCUUUCUUCGGGAACUCCAUCGUACUUACAAAUACGGCAAAAGGGGGAAAUUAUAAGGAUCGAUGACUGCAAGGACUGAUAUUCUGUAAUUAGCUCAGGGAAUAAGGCACAAGGUAUCUCUUGAGUUGAACAAAUGAAAUAUACCGAGAGCAAGGGUAAGAAGGUACAAUAAGAAUUUUCAAGCGGGUAGGCAAUCGUUCGAUGCCGAAACCAGAGUGUGAGUUCAGAGCAACAUGGAAUAAUAUUGCAUCUGGUACCAGAAUAGAUCAUCUCUAGAAGAUCCUCAUGAAUUACAUAAGAAGCCAAGUGCGAGGAAUAACUUUCGAAACAUGGAUGUACAGGAGAGCCAGGUUUCGACCUUGUGGAACUGUGGUUAUUGUGGACUAAGAGUAGGAAGAGCGAUGACAUCUUGCACGAUCAUGAUAGCAUGGCAUGUCAGAGGAUAGCUUGCAUGCUAUGUCGGCAACAACAUUGGUACCAAGGGUGGGGGAGAUGCCACUAGUGAACCUAUACCCCUGGUUCUAUUCCCCGUUACUGAAUUCUUCUACAUAGUUGCUACUUUUAGUUGUCGUGCUACUUUGCUACUAUCUAUCUCUAUCACUUGCGUUUAAUCUUGUAGCUAGCAACCCCAGGGGAUUUGACAACCCUCUUACAUGUUGGGGACGAGUGUGUGUGUGUGUGUGUGUGUGUGUGUGUGUGUUCUGUGCACGGGUCCUAUUGACAUUGCUAGCUAGGAGACUCCUACUUGAUUGAUAAUCUUGGUUCUCUAACUGAGAGAAAUACUUGUUACCGUUCUACUUCACCCUUACACUUAGGGAAAACUCAACAACUCAUGCGGGAGCAAGCACCUGUCUAGCAGGUGGACGCUGCUUGGAUUGGUAGAUUGACCGAGAAGAUGGCUCCUUGGGCCGUUUAGGCCUUUUAUCCAUGGGCCCGGCUUUGAGCCUUCAUUUGGGGGAUUAUGUCUACUCCUACGCUCCGGCACAUUGGGAGCAUGCUUUUAAGCACCGGCAUCUCAAAGAGGCCGGUUUUAGGUAGGUCAAUCAAGGUUCUCGGCCCACUUGCACCUAGAUAUGGCGCUGUCGUUGAUCGCCACAUCCAUCUCUUUGAGGAGGUUCCUAGAGUGGUGUGGUGGGCAGUUGUUGGCCUAUAUCUACCCAACUUAGCCUUGAGUGCCUCCUGGGCUUGGAGGAGCUCAUUCCACUGGUCAUUAAGGUAGUUAUCCUCGUCUCAAAGACGUUGAGACGUAUUUUAAAUUCUUUUGGCGGUGCUAACCAGCCUUACACGCAAUGAGUCAUAACUGAGAUUUCCCAAAGAUUCAUUCAGGGCAUCCUCAUUGUUGGGGCCAAGGCUUCUUUCUAGGUUGUCAUCGGGGUUGUAAUCCAUCUCGUCGUUGUCGCCUCCUUUCCCCUUGUCAUUGCCUUUGCCGCCACCGCCACUGCCACCGCCACCGCCACCGCCAAUUUCCCUAAGAUCCGAUACAAUAUGAAUCUAGGUUCUUUGUCGACAGCUUGACUCAACGUCUGGUCGUCAAGUAUGGUGUCUGCAUCCUGGCUCAAGGUCGGAUCUGAAACAUGGUCUAUGUCAUCAUCCUGCGCCAUGACUGGCUCCGAGGUCCCGGCGGGUGUAUCAUUGUGCCCCUCGAUCUGGUAUGACAUGUAGCCCGAGAAGGCAAGCUCGCUGCGUGAAUCUACGAUGUAUUCUAGGUUCCCGGAUCUGAUGACAGACCUCGGCCAGGUUGAAAACUUUGCCUCGGGUGGCCAGUCGAAUCUGCAAAGAGGGUGAUGUUGUAGAAGACAAAUAUCUGUCUCGGCAAAAAGGUCAUGCCACAACCGACCUGAUCGAUGACCUAGAGGCAUGCCAUCGAACCGCUUGGACUACUCAAAGGGACCUGCAUGUGCCACCAAUGAUGGAGUCAAUUCCAGUAGAUCUCCGGUAGGAGGUCCUGAGCUGGCAGCCUUGGUGCAAUGGUAACAGAGACGCAUGAUUUUACCCGGGUUUGAGCUCUCUCAAAGAGAUAAUACCCUACGUCUUGAAUUUAUUGUAUUGAUUUCGAGGGAGUACAAGUUACAGGUUGAUCUACCGUGAGAUCUAUGUGUGUAUGAGGUGUCGUCUAUGAGUCUCGCCCCUCGGUUUAUAUAAAUGCCAAGGGUGUCUAGGGUUUACACAUAGGUCGGUUACAUCUAGGGUAAUCGUGGCGUAAACGACCUAUAUGUCUUGGAGUAUGCGCCAAGUCUUCGAAAGUUUCCAUCUUGGCGUUUCUGGGCCCGACGAACGUGGCCUACUGGUAAAUCAUCCCAGGGGUCCUUGGCCCGGCCCACCUGGCCAGGAGACUAUGUGGUAUGCACCCCCUAGUUCAGGACACCAUCACCCCCGCCCCCCAAAAGCCCCGAGUCUAUGGAAGAUUGGGAGUAGAAGCCCUCUCAAAUUUAUCUCUUGAGGUGAUUAACGACAAGUUGAGCAUGCGGGCUCGUCUACACAAAUAUGGAUGUGCGUGGGGUGUUACAGUAAAAUUGAUGGUCAUGACAUAGGAUGCAAAAAUGAAGGCCCAUGGCACAACAAUCAUGGGGGGGUCAAUAUCGUCCAACGCUUAAUGAGUGGUAACUAGGCGGUUUUCAUGUCCAUCAAUAACUCCUUGGUCUUUUUAAUGUUUUUCCAAAAAAAAAGAUUCCUUUGGUUUGCCUCCUGCAAAGUAAGAGAGCUAUGACAUCUUACUUUCACGCGUUUGGCAGAUCCAGCAUGGAUGUCUUACAGUUGUUCAGGACACCAUCACCCCCCUNNNNNNNNNNNNNNNNNNNNNNNNNNNNNNNNNNNNNNNNNNNNNNNNNNNNNNNNNNNNNNNNNNNNNNNNNNNNNNNNNNNNNNNNNNNNNNNNNNNNNNNNNNNNNNNNNNNNNNNNNNNNNNNNNNNNNNNNNNNNNNNNNNNNNNNNNNNNNNNNNNNNNNNNNNNNNNNNNNNNNNNNNNNNNNNNNNNNNNNNNNNNNNNNNNNNNNNNNNNNNNNNNNNNNNNNNNNNNNNNNNNNNNNNNNNNNNNNNNNNNNNNNNNNNNNNNNNNNNNNNNNNNNNNNNNNNNNNNNNNNNNNNNNNNNNNNNNNNNNNNNNNNNNNNNNNNNNNNNNNNNNNNNNNNNNNNNNNNNNNNNNNNNNNGUAUGGAAGAUUGGGAGUAGAAGCCCUCUCAAAUUUAUCUCUUGAGGUGAUUAACGACAAGUUGAGCAUGCGAGCUCGGCUACGCAAAAUAUGGAUGUGCGUGGGGUGUUACGGUAAAAUUGAUGAUCAUGACAUAGGAUGCAAAAAUGAAGGCCCAUGGCACAACAACCCGGGGGGGGUCAAUAUCGGUCAACGCUUAAUGAGGGGUAAAAUAGGCGGUUUACAUGUCCAUCAAUAACUCCUUGGUCUUUUUAAUGUUUUUCCAAAAAAAAAUCGAUUUGCCUCCUGCAAAGUAAGAGAGCUAUGACAUCUUACUUUCACGCGUUUGGCAGAUCCACAUGGAUGUCUUACAUUUGUUUCCAUUUUUCACAACAAUUCUUUUGACAAUGGGUGGAGUCCACCUACCCCAAUCCAGGCGCCUUCGGCAUGUGAGAAUACCGGUUUCUUUUUUUGCAUUUGUUCUUUUUAGAACAGACUUAGUCAACUUCCUCCCCGCGUCGUCGAGUGGGCAGAGGAUUCAUUCUUUUUUCACCUCCGUUAUUCUGAGAACUGACGGAGUCCACCCCCUCCCCCUUCCUUCUGCAAAGUAGAGGGUAUGUUUCCUUUUUCACAACCUUUGUUUCGAGAAUGGGAGGGGGCCUCCCCCUGCGUCUUCGGCGGGUCAGAGGAUCCAUUUCCGUUUUUCAUGCACGUUCUUUUGAGAAGAUACGGCAUAAAAAAUAAGAUCCGCAAUUUAUUGAGCACGUAAUGAUUUUGCUAUUCCUAAAUCGACCGAGAAAAAACAAUAGCAAAAUCACCUGUUAAAUGCCAUCCGAUCUAAACACGAGAUACAUGCAAGUGUAGACGUGUGCGGAAAUGUUUUUAACGGUCAUUUUUUAGAGAACGGGCUUAUUUCCAAGCCACUAUACUCCACUUGCAACGAAUAAAACCGAACGGGGACACUACGGAACAGCACCGGUGCCUUGGAAUAGGAAUAGAGUAGACCAGGGGUGCGGCCGGGACCGUACCGCAACGUUUCCCACCCGCGUCCCAAAUAAAUCCAUCCAUCCGUCCGGGCGUUACAGCAUCGCCCAACCACUCCUCCAGUCCCGUCCUCCCUCUCCCUCUCCCUCUCGAGCGAGCGAGCCAACCAAGGCGACAAAAAUCCAAGCUGCAGUGCACGCUCCAGCAAUCCGAACCCACCCAACCACCGCACGCUCCGCGGAUCCUCCUCGUGCUCCGCUCGCGAUCUGCCUCCGCGAGCCCAACCCAACCACCCCUCGCCGGAGAUGCGCGCCUGGUGAUCCGGCGAGGAGGAGGAGAGGGCCGAUGAGGUGCAAGCUCCACCCGUACGCGAACGCGCUCGGCGUAUGCGCGCCCUGCCUCCGCGACCGCCUCCUCGUGCUCGCCGCCGAGCGCGACCGGGCCGGGGCCAGCAGCGGCGCUGACUGCAGCAGCAGCAGCAGCCGGGGCAGCUCGCCCACGCGCGGGCGCGCCGCGUCGCCCUUCGCCGCCGCCCCGGCGCAGCAGCACCGGCGCUCCGACGCCUGCGCCUACACGUCGUCCCGCCACAGCCACAGCCACCGCCCCGAGCUCCUCUUCUUCAGCACGCCGCAGGUCGGCCCCGCCACCCGCGCCGCGGACGACGAGCCCCGGGAGACCGAGCGGAAGAAGUCCUUCCAGCGGAGGCGAUCCUUCUUGGCAACGCUCUUCGGCGGAGGGCGGCGGGGCAGCCGGGAGGAGGAGAGCGAGAGCAAGAAGGACCCGCCCCGGCGGUCCACCUCGUGGCUGUCGGCCAUAGUCCGGCGCAAGCGGAGGCCGGACGCGUCGUCGUCGUCAUCGCUGCCGCGGCCGGUGGACGAGGAGCCCGAGUCCCCAGGAGGCAGCAUGAGCGGCAGCUGGUGGUUCCCAUCGCCCUCCCCGGCCAGGCACCAUCACCACCCCCAGCGGCGCAGCAGGCCCAGCGGAUCAGGCGCCAGCGGCGACGGGAUCUCGGGGUUCGCGGUGUGCCUGAGCCCGCUGGUCCGCCCCAGCACGGGCGGUCGCCGGCGGUGCCAGCAGCCGGACCCGUCGACCCUGGGCGAGAGCCACCGGCGGCACCUGUCGGCCAGCAGCGCGGCGUCCUUCGGGCGCAACACCUCCCGGAAGCUGGCCGACAUGGGCAGGUUCCGGUGACGUGGCGGCCGCUCCGGCCGGCAAACCGCCUCCUCUUUUCCCCCGUCAGAAAUCGUCACCUUGUCCUCCCGCAAAAUUUGACCUUUUGCUGAUGCCGUGCGCUGUCUACUCGCUGAGAGACGAGAGAAAGAUAAUCAAAUGAAGUUGUUUUGUUUUUCAGUUUCUUGUUUGAACGGGAGCUGCGCUGUUCAGCUGCGGUAGCUUUGUGUGAAUUACGACGAGACGACCUGGGCGGCCAGGCCCAGCUCACAGGUCACCUCAUUUCUUUUGUUUGAACGUGUGUUCUCUGACCUCUGACACCUACGACUUCAAUUUUGUUCCGCUCUGCCCUCCCAUUUAUUUACGUGCGGCUGUAUUGCUUCGAGAGCCCGUGCCUGUGUUUUUCCAUUCAUGUUUCGAAUUCUCGGGAGGUGGAAGACGACUGUUAGCGGCAUUGUUUAGCUGCCUGUGCUACGAGUAAGAAGAAGAAGAAGCUUCUCCCGGUCCCGGGCAAUGCGUGUGUCAGUCAGUAUGUUUUACUAGUAUUUUUAUUAUAUAAAAAAAGAUGAAUAAAGCCUUGUACUGGACAUUGGCAAGGCGAGGGCAAUGAUUAGCUUAGCAGGAUACUCAUCCCUUGGGAACUGAGAUUGCAUCGAGCUCGAGUGAGAGAAGCUGGACUCCUGGAGAGGGUGAGAUGAUGAAGGAUACAUAAAGGAUAAACAGGAUGAAACGGAAAGCAAUGGGCGCAUCACAUCACCAUUAGGAUGAUAAUGCGAUGCGACGCCAUGGCUUGUGGUAACAAAAGGAAAACGCAUAUCCCUUCUCCUCCUCGACGUGGCUCCCCUGGCUACAACGACGUCCUCUGUGCUUCCCGUCUACCCACGUACUAGCACUAUUACUACGACAUUGUGUGCGUGUGUGCGCGCGCGCUCCGGUCAUCUAGGCAGCACAAAACACCACAAAAGCGGGGGCGCCUCUUUCCUCGCGGCCAAGACUGCAAAUUCCCACGCCUUUCUCUGUUUGUUCGAUCGGACAGCCGAUGCCAAAAAGAGCCCGUAGAGCAGAGCACGCGGCCAUGGCCUAGGAGCAAGGUCCCCGAUUCCUACUCAUCACAAAACUACAGCUAGACCACUCCAGUAAAAAGAGACCAACCAAGCGCAUCACAGCACCACUCAAGUGCUAUCUUACACUACGAUAAUACUGCUGCAGCAACGAGUAAAAAAUAAACGCAAAUGCUAACUGGCAAAUGUUUGCUGGGAAGGAACUCCCAACGAACGCCCUCGCAGCAGUUUUGGGAAAAGAAAUUGUCUUCUGUAUGAAGAAAUUGUCAUGCUAGUCUCAAGAAAUUGCCACCCCGGCCCUACAAAUCAGAAUAAAUAGAUUCAGGCAGCACAACAACAAGCAUAGCUACCAGCAAACAGUCAAUAAUCCCAACCGUUCAAGCAAAAAGAGAAUAACCAAAACCAUGAGACCCAUCCAUGUCUGCCGACUACUUCACCGUAAAAAAAAAUAGACGACCGUUUCACCAAAGAUACGCCAGCAUCCGAACGCAAAAGAUAGAUCCCUCCGUCCGGAAAUACUCGUCGGAGAAAUGGAUGUAUCUAGACAUACUUUAGUUUUUGAUACAUCCAUUUUUAUCAAUUUCUCCGACAAGUAUUUUGAGACGGAGGGAGUAUAUGUUUACGCUUUCCCUCUGGAGAAUGCGAACAUAUUCUUUUUUUUUGAAAAAAAAAACCCUAUAUUAAUUAAUUAAUUAAUAAUGUUAUUACAAUCUUUCAUUACAAAAUUCGCCACGCAGGGCGGAACACUAUUAAGAAGAAUCCCAUCAGAUUUAUUUAUAAAGCUAAACUUCGCAAUUUCGUGCGCCACCUUAUUGGCCUGCCGAUUAAUUUUCGCAAUUUUAAAAUUCUUGAGCAUCGUCAGUAUACUCAAGGCUUCUUUCUUCAUAUUCAAAAGCAUAUGUGUGAAGUGCGUGGUGUGUUCUCUACGCCCUUCCCCCAGAAUGUCCUUGUCAGGAAAUCAGUGGGAAGGGAAAUGCCCGGCAACUCGCUCAUCUUGCUAGGGCCUUUAUUUCCUUUCAGUAUUGUUAUACUACUAACAAGGCGCAUAAGUCAACUGCGCAGUGCAGACAGUGUGCACUGGGCAUGCAGCAAACGCAACGGCCAGGUGCUCAGCUUUUCGGCGCUGAAAGAAACUUCCAUCCACCACAAGAGGGCCUACCGUGAAACAACCGCUAGUGGCCGGUGCUCGAUGGCCGGCAUGCCGGGCAAUGGAGCUUGCUCCUCCAUUCUUAUGGACUACCCAGUGUGAAAAUCAUUCGCCCAAAAGAUCACAGACAAAUGAAAUACUCUAUUAAAGGAAUAUUAAUUAAUUAAACAGAAGACUGAAAUGAAAUGAACAGAAGCAGGCAUCUUCUUUGUCAAAAGGAAUAUAAUAGCGGCUGAUUGCCAUCUUUCCACACGGGGAACCACCCUUCGGACACACGCAAAAGCGCGGGCCGAAAGCCUGAUUUCAUAUGGCUGCUGAUGGCCAGAUUCCAAAUUUUAGAGGGGCUACAGGCUGAUCUAUCAGUGGCGGUUCGACCGUGACGACUCUAGAUGGAUCAAGCGAGCAGACUGCCAACUGCUGAAAGCUCCGCUUGGGGUCCUAGUAUGGUCAGUCAAGGCGGUGCAGCAUCUUGAUGCUGUCACUUGCCCCUUUGUUAGGUUGCAAACUUGAUUCCAAAAUAUUAUAAAGAAAUCAAUACUUGAUUCCAAAAUAUUAUAAAGAAAUCAAUCUAGGGGUCCCACUGCUAGCUGUGGAGACUCAAAUUUCCUCUCGAAAUAUUAAAGAAUUAUUAAAGAAUUUUAGCCGACACCUUAACUGCUUCUGGUUAGAGUUAGCAUUCUAGGAUAUGUGGUAGCCGCUCAAUGGCAAGUGGUCCGAAACAGUGCGCUGAUCCCAAAUGCAACAGCAGUGAAACAUACAGUAGUUCAGACCAGGGCUUGGCUAACAAUAGCGUGCAGGUUUCAGCUUGCAUUGCUGCUAAGAGUUUACUACUGUACAAUCCAUCACAGAACUUAUCCCACGAAUAGCUUAACACUGCUGUGUAUUAUAUGAAAAUCUGGCCCAGAUUCGUUGACCUAUAUAAGAUAAUUCUUGCAGGAACUAAACAGAAACAAUAGUGAAAAGGUACGACAAGAGGUCUCUCAAUUAGGACAUACCUGAAAGCCUUGGGCCCAUGUGUCAGGACUCCGCGAGUGCUUCUCGUCGGCCUUUAGUGGGGAACAAAAUCAUGCCUACCAUAUCCAUUGGCAUAACAGAAGGUUAGUGGUGCUAAAUGAUUGGCAGACCUCAAUGUGCUCCACGGGGCCCAUACUUAGCGUCGAGAUGCAUAUUUCCAUUCAGAUCUGAAAGCAGCCACGAGAUCGAUGUGAGGCAGAUUUUCAUACAGGCAUACAGCACUAGGAUACUCUGGCACAAAAAGAACCCAAAAAAAGAAAACAAUCAACUGGAAACGGCAACAGGAAGAACAAACAUGGGUAUGCAGGGACCAGUUUCAUGUAGCGUGGAAUUCAAUAUACGAAAGAAGAUAAUGAUAAACAAGACUUAUUGUUCACGAAAAACGAAUCAUCAAUCUUGCCAACUCCAGGAGGCCAUAUGGGAAAAAAAAAGUCAAACAUGGUUGCUGCACCUAUUAUUCACACUCAUUUAGUUCUUGUAAAUAUGAAGCUUGAUUGACUCUGCUCAGGUGUUUCAGUUUACCUAGAUGGUACUAAAGACUGAUAGUACAAGAAAGCUGGAGCGCAAAAACUAUGAUGAAGUCACAAAGUGAACCACCAGCAAAAUGCUUUUUGUGAGACUAAGAACAUAUAAUCAGACUUUUGCAGGCAUAGUCUUAGACUAUUUGUAGAGUUCAACACAGGAAAAACAUUAUGAUUUUUAUGAAGGUCAUAGACAAGGAGACGAGCAAUAGAGAUGCAAAAUGAGUACAAGCUUCAUAGGUCUGGAUGAAGAGUAUAUAUGGUUGGGAAUGACAAUAGUCCGAAUGUUAGACAUACCUUAGAAAAGAAGAUUUAACAUUAGUUGUACAAGAUCUUGUGCUUCGACUUCCACUUCUCUUCUCUCUUGCUCUCUUCCAAUUAUAUUAUUGGGCAUAGUCGAAGCAUGAACAAAGGGCCAAUCUACUUCUGACAGCAAAAGAUACAAGAACACUAAAAAAAACAUUUGCAAUCAAAAUCCAGGGCAAGGAUGGGAAAGUAAACGAAUUGGAACGUUAACAUACAAGAACAGAUCAACAGAGUACUCUAAAUAGUGACGAAACUUAGUUGUCUGCAGUUGUUUCCAAUGCUAAGACUACAAACAGCAUCCCCAGCUCAUCCCAGCAGAAACAGUAUCUUGCGUUGACACAUAAUAGUGACAAGCCAUCCAUCAUGCAUGAUAGGCAGAGUAGUUUGCAUGAUUAGCACACACCUUGCAAGUUGCAACAGGGCUAUUUACAGAACCCAACAUAAGUAAGGAUAAAAGCACAAGAAAACAAUGACAAAUUUAUGUCAGAAAACUGUCUAUCCUUUUCCCACUGCAAAUGAUGCUGCAUCUGUUAAAUGUGUGUACUAAAUUAACAUCGACUGUUUUUCUUUUCCUUGAAGGUCAUGCCAUGCGCACUACAAGUGCCCAGGGGAAAACAAAUAGAAAAAGAAACAAUAAACUGAAACAUACAGAUUCUAGGACAUAGAUCAGUCACAAAAAUAUGGUUGAAUGCCAUUUUUUUACUGAAUCAUUAGGAAAUAGUAUGUCUUAAUACAUAAAUUUAUCGAUAAAUUAUAGCAUUUUGCUGUUGACAAAAUUUUCUCCAAAACAGAAGAAAGUAGUACAUAUGGGCACAAACUGAACAAAAAAAUGCAAAUAAAAUAUGUGACCAAUUCAGGGGUUUCCGCAUUUAUCUUAUGGCUCACACACUGCGAUUGGCAUCCGGUGAGCUACUCCCUCUAUCAAAAUAUAAGUCAUUUUUUUAUACUCCCUUUGUAUCAAAAAACGUCUUAUAUUUUGAUAAAGAGGGAGUACUUCACCAUAUCAGCGAAACAAGUUAACAUGAGCAACCUUCCACAAGGCCAAGGAAAUUUAUUAUCCUUUAGUAGUAACUUCAGCAAGCUCUGUAUUUGAUAAAAGAUUGUACAGAUGACCAUUUGAAAAAACAGGAUAUGCUGUCAUAGAAUCUGUGUUCAAUAAAUUUCCUACAUAACUUUAAAUACAUAGGCUUGAUAAAGUCUUACUAAAAGACAUGAAUGAUGUAUGAGCAGCUGGCCUUGAUGCAGAUGCACUGUUUGGAAGCAAAAUGAUCCUGAGUUGCAUUAUUGAAGUUCAUGUUCUUGCACCAUGCCCUGAGCAUUUGAAAAUGGUCUUCAAGGAUAGAGCCGCACAAUAUGUCAUGUCCUUGAGCAGGAAGUAACCAUCUAGCUAGGCAGUUAUGAACCAGCCAGCAAAAUGCUAGAAUCUGCUUGACAGUAGUACACAUUUACAUAGUCUGUUUAGUCCAUCGGUGAGUUGGUCUCUUGUAAAUUCAGUGGCAGCAACCAACUGUUAUCAUAAUUAAGCCUUGGUGAUUUUACAGAAAUUAUUGACACUCAAGACAUUUCAGUAGGUUGUGGAAAACCCUGAUGGCCUCCAUGCCCUAGUUCCUUGUUAUUCAAUUCAUCUGUGUCUGAACCAAGGUCUUCUAUGGAAUCUUGGACAUCACUCUCUUUUGAAGAAGGUAGUAAAACUGCAUUUUUCUUGUAGCUCCAUACAAGCAUUGAAAUGUGGUCUUGUGGUGUUAUAAGCCCCUCCUCUCUAAUGCAACUCCGCUGCUCUUCCAGUGUUUGUUGAUCUGUGAGCUUUAUAUAUUCAAGCAAAAACUUCUCGUGGUCUGGGCGCCACCCGCUUGGUAAUGGUGUAUAGUCAGGAUCAGGAACCAUUGACAUCCUUGUAUACUGGAGUCCAUCAACUGAGUCUACAAGACCCAUUCUCAGCAAAUUGGUGUACUCUGGUGACUGCCCUUUCUUAUCCUUCAAUGGUCGACUAAGAUUCCUUGAUGCAAUCUUAUAAACCUUUGCCCUUGACCGCAGCUUAUACUUGGCGGCAUAUAACUUUGCCAAGGACCCCCUUAUAAUGUAGGAGCAAAAGUUGACAACCUUUUUGCGGUUAUCAGCGUAGCGAUACCAUUCUGCCAUCGUCGUUAAAAGCUUAUUCAUCUGCAAGUUAGUGUGAGCUUGUGUGGCAUGGAACAUCCGGAAACAUGGCUGUGGGUCUGGCUCACGGUCUCCCUUUAAAAACUCUAGCUUCCGGAACUGCCUGAUGCACUGUUUCAAACUGGCUGUAACAGAGAGCAAAGUACCAACCCCCUUCUCGCUAAUGAUCUUGCCUCCAGUGGCUGUGUAACGGAGGGUUGGGUACACGACACGACGACACAACACAUGAUCAAGAAACAUGAUCCCUUUAGUGAUGUGUUCAAUUGGGAGGCUCUCAUUGUCAAGCUUGAUCCUGAACCGCUGAUCACAAAAUUCAAUGAGCUGCUUUCGGAUCACUGCAGCAUCAGCCCUAGGCCCCCUCACCCCAAUCAAGAAAUGCCCGCCAAACCGAAUAUAGUCCACCUUCCUUGUUUUGUCAGGCCCGCUCGUGGGUACAAACUCCGGCCAUGAUGUAUUCCCCUGCUCGAUGCCAUCCUCCCCUCCCACAACAUCCGACUUGGACGGCUUGUAGAACUCCUUGAUCUUCUCGUCCAUCCACUUAUCAAACUCAUCCAGGCAGACAUUGGCGAGCAACGGGCUCAACACCCCACAAUGCCCCCAAUCAGGCUGAGUCAGAGCCUCCUCUGGUGCAAACCCAAAGAAUGUCUGCAACCAGUAGGGGUCAGGCUUCGGCUCCCCUUCAGGCAGCACCUUCUUUUUCUGGUACUUCCUCUUCUUCUUCUUCUUUGAUGCAUCAUCAUCACCAGGCCUUGCGGUCACCACUGGAGUAAGCAGCGCCGAACGGACUAAAUCGACGACUUUCUUGUCACGCACAUCCCGGAUGAGCGCACCGACCACGAGCGCAGGGUCGGGGGAAUCAAGCAGCGGGGAGAGGUCUCCCUUGAUGUACCAGAGGUAGGGCGCCCAGCUCCGGCGGAUGCUACGGAGUGUGGCAUGCGGGGAUCGCCCAGGGCGGAAGGCAAAGGACUUGGGCGAGAACCGCGCCUCAUACACGGGCUCGAGCAGCAGCAGGAGUAGCUCUUGCACGACGCGGUCCUGGAAGGGGGCCGGGCCCGGGGUGGUGAGGAGGGCGCGGAGCUUGCGCUUGGAGAGGGUGGCGGGGUCCGGGGCCGCCGCGGCGCGUGGGGAGUGGAGGUAGGGUGUGAGGCGGUUGCCGAAGCGGAAGCGGGCGUCGAUGACGGCGUUGCGGAGCGUGAGGAUGGAGGUGAGCGUGGAGGCGGGGAUGGAGGAACGGGGUAGGUAGGAGCCGGUCUCGUCCGCGUAGGCCUUCUGGUAGGCGAGCACCCAGAGCUCGAGGCGAGUGAGGAAGGGGGCCAGCGUCGGCGGCGGUGGCGGAGCGGCGUCGCCAGGCGCGGCGGCGCGGAAGGAGGAGACCCACAGCGACGCGGUGAUGGACACCGGGUCGUCGCGGAGGAGCUGGGUGGGGUCCAAGGGGUUUCCGCCGACGCUGCUUCGCCCCGUGCCGGCGGCGGCGUUGGGGUCGGCGACGAACUGGUGGCGGCGCGAGGAGGGCGGCGGCGGCCGCGGUCGGUGGUGGGCAAGGGAGGAGCAGCCGCGGAUGCGGAGGAGGGAGCAGAGGAGCGCGCGGCGAGGCGGAGGCAUCGGGUGGAGGCGGGAGCGGGGGCGGAUGGCUAAAACCCUCGCGUCGCGCGGAGGUCGCCGGCGUCGCGGGUUUUGGCUGGGGAAGUGAGAUGGUGGUGGAGGCGGCCACGGCGGCGCGGCGAGAAUGGAAGGGUUGGGCCACCACGCUCACAGUGGAAAGCCCAUUGGGCUUUGUGGUGCAUAUAGCGGUGCAGAUUUUUCGAACCUGAGUGUAAGCGCACCCUGAGAAAAAAUAAUUAAACUUAGUCGGAAUAAACAUUGUCUAGUAUUAUCACUCACGUGUAAAGUUUCGCGAAAAAAUGACUUACGUAGUAUUACUGGAAAAACGACAAAAUUACAACUACAAACCGUGUGAAUGAUAAGCUCCACUUGAUAUAGUAUCAGUCAGUUUGUAUUCAUUCAGAAUACCACGCAAGUCAUUUUGUCGUGAAACUUUACAUGUGAGUGAUACACUAGACUAUGCUUGUUCCGACAAAGGUUCAAAAAUAUUUUACCCAUGUCCCAAGGUGUAUUUUCGGCAAAUAAUUCUCAAAAAUAAACAAAUAGUAGGCAAAUUCUACAUGUUAUGGGCGGAACAGCGAGCGCACACACACACACACCUGCAUGCACCAUGUAUCUUCAUGGACCUAGCGGCGAGGCGGGAGUGGAGCGACGAUGGCGAGACGGCGUCGAGCGAGGCACUGAGCCUGAGCUUGAGCCGCGACGACCAAAUAUGAGCGGUUCAGGUCACCGGUGUCAGAGGGGAGAGGGUUAGAGGGAAGGCCGGAUGGGGGGUGAUGGCUCGACAAGGCGAUACGAAAGGGACGUCAGCCAACUUGCAAGCACCAUGUGUCUUCUUGGGCAUGAUCCAGUUAAGGAAUGACAUCGUCGAGGCGGGGGUGGAGGGACAAUGGUGAAAAGGCAGCGAGCGAGGCACUGAGCCUGAGCCGGCGACAACCAAACUUGAGCGACGCGGGUUACCAACUUUUCCAUGUAUAGUACUAAAUGUGGUUGCCGUGAUAUAUAAACUAUGCAUUCAAUGAAAAUAGCACCUAUAUUCAAAUCAUUUCAUUGUUGGCAUAAUUAUGAAUAUGAUAUGUACAAUUCAUAAUUUUGAAAGAUAUGAAGGUAAUAACCGCAUCGAGAUACUACGCCCCAACCAACGACAAUCUAACAAAGAGUUGUCUAAUAUAUUUGCCCAAAAAUGUAUGCAAGCACUAGCUGCUAUUUACGUAUUCCCUCAGUCCCAAAAAAAUGUCUCAACUUUGUACUACUAAAGUUCUAUUAAAGUUGAGACACUUAUUUCAGACGGAGGGAGUACCUUUUAUCUUUGAGAAACUUUCUGAUUUGGUGAAUAAGGAGUUCUGGAUUUCCUUCUCCGGCAUGAUCUUGAUCUUGUUUGAGUAAUUGUGUAAAAUAGAACUCUUUCGUAAUACUAGGGCUUAUGAGAUCGACACAAAAGCUUGAUAGUCUAAGUGCGGUCCAAGCUUGUUAUAGACCUGUCUAGUAAGGGUCAUCUUACCUACCCCCACCCUUUCCAAGAAUAGAGAAAACUCUUAGCUGAUUUGUCAAUUCACCUCCCUUGUCAUUCAGCAACUUCACAAACUCAUCUCUCGGGUAAUUGAUGCCAACAAACUCUGAUGCAUCUUCAUAUACCGCGCGGAAAGUCGUGGGUCACAAGGCAUGGAGAGCCAUCGACCUUGUCCCUUUAGUGAUUACGAAGCAAGAAUUAGAUAUAAGUAACAGAGUUUAAGGAGUUGCCAUUUAGAUACAUUAUAACCGAGCACUAAUCAAGCCAUCCCCGGCCAUUAGCAUUAUUAACCGUUAGAUGUGUUGUUUAACCCUUUUCUGACCGUUGGAUGAUGUUUUAAUCCCGCGUGGGCUCUAUCGCUGGACACUGAGCGCUUAACGGUAGUGGGCCGCUGCUCCACGAACUAUUUCCGACGUUUCUUGUGACUUUGGACCAAAUGGGCUAAGGUGUCAUGACUGGAAAAAAAAGGCACUCUUCGGUCUCACGGAGAGGCCACUACUCCCGAAAAAAAUUGAAAGCCCUUCAAUUCACCUCCAUCUCUCCUCUCGCUCGUGUGACAAUGGAGGAACCCCUACACUGUUCCCAGAUGGGGGGCAAUGGCCCCCAAGCCUUACAUCAUUGGCGAUCCUAUGGCGAGUGUUGAUGUCCAAUAUAUUUUUCUUGAUUUUGCCACGAAUCUCCUUGAAGCUUUUCGACUUGGAACCGGAAUCAUGGUUCACAAGUAACAUGAACUUGUUGAUGUUGUCCUCAAUAUCAUAUGACAGCUCUCACACAACAUCAUCACGAAGCGUGACUUGGUGGUCAGGCCCCUCCACAUCUGCCAUCAUGGCAGGAAUGCUUGCAUAGCCUUGAGAUCAUCCUUGAGGAGCUCGAUUGCAUGACUCAUGAUGGACAUCCUUGAGAAGCUUGUGCUCACUGGCAGCAUGGUUCCCAACUUCCCCAAGAGGGAUGUCAUCGCUCCCGCUGUCGCGCUAACCAGAACUCUUUCCAUGGUUAUUGUGGAGAAUCAAACUAACCAUCAUUGCAUCGUAUUUCUCAAUGUGCUACAUGAUCUGCUCAUCCUAUGCUUGUUCUCCUGCGACGACGAGGGGUUCUUCUUGUCGGAGACGACAGCCACAGGCCGGAAGGGGUACCAGUAGUGGGCGAGUAAAUUUAGUACUUGAGUGGGAAUGGGAGUGGGAGCGAGCAGAGUGCUCAAUAAUGGAGAGAGACCCCUCAUAGAACUACGUCGAUUAAGGUCAUCCAUAGUGUGUGCCAAAUAGCAUUACCAAAUUGAGUUUUGGCUUUUGGAAACCUCAUUAGACUAGUAGCAUAGUGAUGCGUCUGCAACAUAUCUAUAAUUUUUGUAUGUUUCGUAGCUUUUAUCUAUCAUUUUUUGCAAAGUUUUGAAGUUUAUUGGAUUAACACAUUAAUAAAGUGCCCAUCGCCAGUCUCUAUUUGUCAGCGUUUGUGUUUUUUAAGGAAAAUAGGUAUUUUAAACUUCCGAGAAAAUUCCAGAAAAAUAGAAGAGCAGUUUCAAGCCAGUAGGGGCACCAUGGGCCACACCAGCUAGCCAGGUGGGCAAUAUGGCGCCUAUGUGCCCUAUGUAGGCUCCAUGGGUCUGAGUGUGCCUAGGCACCCUAGGGCUGCCUAUGGUGACUCGGUGCCCGAUGGCUUAUAUAUACCCCAGCACACACACACCCCUCGAUUUAUGAUGGAUUUUUUAUGCUGUUGCCACUCCCUAGUUUGAGGUAUCUUUAUUUUUAGCCCUAAUAUGGCACUCUAUGGGAGGGGGGAUCUUCUUUGACCCCUUCAUCAACCCUUAUUGCUCCCAUGGCAAUGAAGGAGUAAUACCUUCGAGGUUGAGGGUUUGUGGUACUACCUCCGUCUCGGUGAAUAAUUCAUUCACGUAGUUCUAGGUCGACGAUUUAACUAUUUAAAUAUGUAUUAUAUGUGACAAAAAAUAUAUAUUUAGAAACUACAUCCGUGUAGAAAUCUAGUGAUAAACUUUUUAUGACAUAUAACACAUAUUUAAUUCCUCAAAUCGAUGACCUAGAACUACACAAAUGACUUAUUCAUCUAGACGGGGGUAGUAGUAGCUAUGUGGCAUGUAUCUCUUUUUCUUGAUCAUAAGAAUUGCGGCCAUAAUUGUGAUCUAGGGAAUUGAUGAUUAAUUGAAAUAUACAAUGUACCUCUUGUGACGAGGACCUUUAUGGACUAAAUCAUGUUCAUGUUAUGUUGAACUUUAGGAGUUAACGAAAUUACAUGAUGCAUACCUAGUAUAAUUUUCUGGAGACACACGUGGCACAUUGGGGUAACUCGGUAGAUUAAGAUUAGAACGAUAAAGAUCAUGUGUUGUUGUUGUAAUAUAAUUUCUGUGGUUGCUUGUGUUGAUAUUGGGGUGGCUCAGUAUAUUAAGAUUAGAAAGACAACUUUGAGGUUGUUAGCACUCUGCGCACCUGACAGAUCUCAUCCAGGUUUGAUCCAAUAAGGGACUUUGUAAUGGUAUAUCAUGUAUUUUAAUGAAGUGUCAUGUUGAGAAUUGACACUAGUGAACCUAUGAAUCCCAGGCCAUGUUUUCAACCAUUGCAAACCACGUUUCAAUCACGUUUUCAUCUUGUUUGAUGAAAUGUCAAUGGCUUUAACUACCAUUUUUUAUUUUAAUCUUUAGCCGUUUGUAGUGAUGGUCGUCUGCUCAAAUCAAGUACUCCCCCGAUUCAAAUUAAUUGUCGCAGCUUUAGUACAACUUUAGUACUAAAGCAUAAAGUUGUACCAUAGUUGCACCAAUUAAUUUAGAUCGGAGGGGUGUAAUGUCCGCGAUCUGAUCGGAGGAUCGAUGAUCUAGAGAGGGGUUGAGGGAGCAUGCGAGAGAGGGGAUGAGCUUGGAGAAGGGGGCUGAGAUUACAGAGGAAAGUUUGGAUACAGAGUUUGGCUUACACACGCAUGCCCUCCCCUGGCCACAGGCGGCCACCCUUUAACGCUACCUACGCCUCCACUUGGCUGGCCAGCUGGUUGGGCCCACCAGCCAGCUCCUUAGUCACGCUAACAUCUGCUUAGGUGUGACAUUCUCCCCUCCUUAAGAAGAGGCCUCUCCCUCCCAGAUGGGGGCCGUGGGAAAUCGCCGACGUAGCACGUCGUAGUCCUCCCAAGUGGUCGUGUCCGAGGACGAAGACGACCACUAGAUCUUGAGAUGCACCACGGACGCGUCACCAUGCUUCAUCAUUCGCCGCUCCAGGAUCUUGAUAGGCUCGGCCAUUGACGCCUAUAAGUCGUGGACUCGGGGAAGCUCGGCGAACACCGGCGUGUAAUCCGGCGUGAACGGCUUCAGCUGGGAGACAUGAAAAACUGGGUGCACGCGGCUGUCCGGCGGCAAGUCCAGUUUGUAAGCCAGCGGUCCAAUCUUCUCCAACACGGUGUAGGGGCCGAAGAAUUUGUAUGCGAGCUUGGCGCAUGGGCGCGAGACCACCGAGCGUUGCACGUAUGGCUGCAACUUCAGUAGGACUCGUUCCCCCACCUGGAAGGAGCGUUCGACGCGGUGCUUGUCCGCCUACUUCUUGAAGCGGUGCUGGGCGCGCGUCAGCUGCGCACGGAUGGCAUCCGUAUGCGCUGCCCAGUCCAGGUCGUCACCGGCUGGUGCCUCCUCUGCCCAGGUUGCCAUGGCGCCCAAAUUGGCUUCUCUGCCAUACAGGGCCUUGAAGGGCGUGCAGUUGAGGGAGGAAUGGAAGGUCGAAUUGUACCAGAACUCAGCCAUCGGUAGCCAGCGGUGCCACUUGUUGGGGGAGUCGUGGACGGCGCAGCGCAGGUACAUCUCCAGGCACUGGUUCACCCUCUCGCUCUAGCCAUCGGUCUGCGGGUGGUAUGCCGUCGAGUACAGCAGUUUGGUGCCCGCGCUCUCCAGGAGCUCAGGACAGAGGUUGCUGGUGAAGAUCUUGUCGCGGUCGGAGACAAUGGAAGAAGGAAUCCCAUGCAGCUUCACAAUGUUAUCCCAGAACGCGCGGGCGACUGUUGUCGCGGUGAAGGGGUGGCGAAGUGGCACGAAGUGCGCAAACUUGGUGAAGCGAUCAACAACCACCAUGAUGGAGUUGUAGCUCUCGGACGCCGGCAAGCCCUCGAUGAAAUCCAUUGUCAGGUCCUCCCAUGGCGCAGAUGGAAUGGGCAAGGGCGCGAGGAGGUCGGCCGACUUGGUGUGCUCGUGCUUGGCCUGUUGACAGGUGGUGCAUUGGUGCACGAAUUCCUCCACAUCCUUCUUCAGACCACGCCACUCGAAAUGCUUCUUGACCCGGUGAUAGGUCGCCGUGAUGCCGGAGUGGCCACCCACGACGCUGUUGUGGAGCGCGGCGAUCAGCUUGGUGCGCAGGGUUGUGUUUGCCCCGAUCCAGAGCCUGCCUUGGCGACGAAUGAUGCCUCGAUGAAGCUCGUACCCCUCUGCAUCCGGACUGGACAGUGCUAAGUGCUGCAGGUGUUCCUGGGCAUCUACAUCUGUCGCGUACGAGUUAGCCACCUCUUGCAACCAUGCCGGCUGAUAGGUCGAGAGCGCGGCCAAGUCCAUCCGCUUGCCCACUCUGGAGAGCACAUCUGGUGCUCCAUUGUCGAGGCCGCGCUUGUACAGGAAUCAAAAUUGAAGGCCGGCGAGCUUGGACAUGGCCUUGCGCUGUACGUCUGUCUCCAGGUGUUGUUCUCCCAAGUUGCAGAGGCUCUUGUGGUCCGUGAGGAUGUCGAAUGGCCCGCGCUGAAGAUACUGACGCCAUUUGUCCACCGCCAUCAUAACGGCUAGAAACUCCUUUUCAUAAGUGGAGAGUUUUUGAUUGCGCACACCCAGCGCCUUGCUGAAGUAAGCCACGGGGUGCCCCUCCUGGGUGAGCACCAUGCUGAUGCCCCUGUCACAGGCAUCCAUCUCGAUGGCGAACGGCUUGUCGAAGUUGGGGAGCGCGAGCACCAGGGUGGUGACCAUGGCCUGCUUGAGCAGGUCGAACGCUGCCUGAGCGUGCUCAGUCCACUCGAAGCCUUUCUUGGUGAGGAGCUGCGUGAGGGGCUUGGCGAUGAUGCCGUAGUGUGGCACAAACUUGCGGUAAUAGCCGGUGAGGCCGAGGAAACCGCGAAGUUCGGUCGCUGUCGUCGGCGUAGGCCACUUCACCAUGGCCUGGGUUUUCUCCGCAUCGGUGGCGACGCCCUCGCUGGAGAUCACAUGGCCGAGGUAGUCUAUGUGGUCAGUGGCGAAUUCGCACUUGGAGGCCUUGACAUAGAGUUGGUGUUGACGAAGCAAUUCCAGCACCAUACGCACGUGUUCCAGGUGUUCUUCCAUCAUUUCACUGAAGACCAAAAUAUCGUCAAGGAAAAUGAUGACGAACUUGCGGAUAUACUUACUGAAGAUCGCGUUCAUCAGGCACUGAAAUGUUGUCGGUGCGUUGGUGAGGCCGAACGGCAUGACACGGAACUGAAAAUGGUCGUGAUGGGUUUUGAAUGCUGUCUUGGCCUCAUCUUCUUCUCGCAUUCGAAUCUGAUGGUAGCCAGACCGCAAAUCCAACUUGGAGAAGACUGUGGCACCCGCUAGUUCAUCGAGCAGUUCAUCCACGAUUGGCAGGGGGAACUUGUUCUUGAUAGUUGCGUCAUUGAGCCGGCGGUAAUCGAUGCAAAACCUCCAGGUGCCGUUCUUCUUCUUGACGAGCAACACCGGUGCCGCGUAGGGGCUCACGCUGUGUGUGAUAACCCUCGAGUCCAGUAUUUCACGAACCUGUCGCUCGAUCUCGUCUUUCUGCAGAGGAGAGUAGCGGUAGGGGCGAGUGUUGGCUGGAAUCGCCCCUUCCACCAACGUGACGGCGUGGUCAUACUGCCGGUGUGGCGGCAGGCCGUGAGGCGCGGCGAAGACAUCCGCGUGCUCGUCGAGAAGAUCAGCGAGCGGUGUGUGACUCGGUGUCUUGCGCUUAGUCUGGACGGGUGGGCAGGCAUCCACCAUGGCCAUUGCCCAAACCUCAUUGCCUGCGAUCAAUUUGUGAAGCUCUGCUAGUUCCACGGCCAUCAGGGUCUCGGUGGUCUUGGACUUGACACCGCGCAGCGUGACUUGUUCGCCCUCGUGGAGGAACGAGACGAACUUGUCUUGCCAGUGGCAAGUCAUGGGACUGUGCUGUGCCAGCCAGUCCAUGCCCAGAAUGCCGUCGUAGGCGCCGAUGUCGAGCUCGUGCAUUGGUGUGGAGAAGGUGUGCCCCUGCAUCCACCACUUCAGGUCGGGCACGAUGCGAUCACAGGUGAUGCGAUCACCGUUGGCGACGCGCACUUCCACCGGAGGCAAUGGUUGAGUUUGCACGCCGAUGCAGUCGACGAAACUCUUGUUGACGAAGCUGUGGGUGCUGCCCGAAUCGAGGAGCAGCAGCAUCACCUGAUUCCCCACCAGAGCACGCAGGCGGAUGGUGCUUGGCGAGUCGGAGCCGUCCAGCGCUUGAGCUGACAGAACGCAGCACUCGGCAGGCCGCGCUGGUGGUUCUGGCUCGUCCAAGAGUUGGAGAGCAUGGAUCGCGCCAUCGGAGAGGACCUCGCCAUGCUCCCCUACAUGGAUGGUGAGCAACUGUGCCGGCUGCGCGCAGUGGUGCUCCCGCGAGUACUUGUCCCCGCACUUGAAGCAGAGAUUGUUGGCGCGCCGGUAAUCCCGCAGCUGUCGCUCCCGAGCGAAUUCGUCGCCGGUUGCGCGUGGAGCGGCUGCUUGCCGCGGCGGCGCCACGUUCGUGGGUGGAGGAGGACGCCCUGGAGGAACCGGUCGGACCCGUGGGCGUGUCGUGCCCAGCUCUUCCUCCUGAAUGCGCGCAAGCACAGACGCGCGGGUGAUGCUCGAUGGGGCUUGUAAACAAAUUGCUGCUCGUAGCUCGUCCUUCAAACCCAAACAGAACUGGGUGAUGAAGAAUUUGUUGUUGAUGGAGGGAUCCAGCGCCAGCAGAUGAUACAUGAGCUCGUCAAACACUGUGCGAUACUCUGCGACGCUGCCCGUCUGUCGUAGUUGAAGGAGACGGUGCAUAGUGAGCUCGAACUCGUCCGCACCGAAUUCUUCGAGCACAGCGGCGUCGAACAUGUCCCAUGACAGGUUGCGGUGGUUCUGGCGAAACGCCUGGAGCCAGUGUGCUGCCUGUCCUUCGAUGUAUAGAGCAGCUGUGGGUACCCAAACAUGUUGACCCACCUUGUAGAGCUCAAAGUAUGCCAGGCACCGAUCCAACCAGAGGUAGGGUGCGGAUCCGUCAAAACGGGGGAAAUCAUGUUUUGGUGGUUUGUGGUAGGAGCUCUCGGUGUAGCUGGGGCUGGGCGGCGGCGCAGUGACCCCAGCCAUGGGCGCCCCGAGAGGGGGAACCGGGAGGAGUGGUGGUCGGUUGUCCCCCAAGCGAGUGUGAGCAGAAGCGGAGCGAUGGGGUUCCGCGUGGGGGGGCUGGUGGCGCGGAGACGGUGGAGGCGGCGGCGGCGGCGGCGGCGGCGGUGGUGGUACCAACAUGGUGACGGAUCCCGCAGGUGAGGCCGGGCAGUCGACGGUCUUGCGGGUCGCAUCGACAUCGGCCUGUGUCAGAUCGAGCUGCCGCGCAAGACCCCGCAGCUCCAGCGCGAUCUGAUUGUUGAAGGAGAGUUGCGCCUCCAAUUGCUUGCCGCGGAGGGCGGUCUGCUCGUCGAACUUGGUGAGGAGGGAGUCGAGCAUCUUCGCGAUGUUGGCGUUCCCUUCCUCCAUGGCCUCCAGAACUUGCCGCGUCGCCACGGAGGGCUUCGAGGGCGCCGUUGCUUCGGCCUGAAAGGGGAUCAAACCCCGCGACGGAUUUUGGGCGAGAUCCGGCGAGCGGACUCGCACCGUACGCGGUGGAUGUUACCGAUCCGCCUCCCAAACUCCGACGGCGCAGCAAUGGUGAGGGGAAGAAAAUUUUUGGCUCUAAAUACCAAUGUAAUGUCCGCGAUCUGAUCGGAGGAUCGAUGAUCUAGAAAGGGGUUGAGGGAGCAGGCGAGAGAGGGGAUGAGCUUGAAGAAAAGGGCUGAGAUUACAGAGGAAAGUUUGGAUACAGAGUUUGGUUUACACACGCAUGCCCUUCCCUGGCCACAUGCGGCCACCCUUUACCGCUACCUACGCCUCCACUUGGCUGGCCAGCUGGCUGGGCCCACCAGCCAGCUCCUUAGUCACGCUAACAUCUGCUUAGGCGUGACAAGGGGGUAACUUGCAAAUCCAAUCGAGUCCAGCAUAGUUGUCAUGGAAUUUGUUUAUUUUAACAAGUUGGUUUAAGGGUGUACUCUUGGCAUCUGUACGCAACAAAUUAGUUAAACCCUAUGUUUUACCAGCACGUAAUCUUUACGUCUACCAUGCGCAUGUGCCUUGCAGACAGCUUAAUUUAGAACAUUUCCGCUGUCGCACGGGGCAUUUUUCUACUUUUAUCAAUGGGAAACUUCGAAAUGGGGAAACUAGAAUGGGAUGUGCAAGAAACUACUGUACUUGCAAAAAGGAAAAUCUGCAUUCCAAAAUUUCAGUUUAUAUACACGAACUGAACAAACUGGACCGUCCGGUUUGACUAGUGUCAUGUCUAAUUGUACACUAGGGUCAUCUAUUUCUGCUAAGUAAUCGCUUGGUUUACAAAAUUAUACAGGGCAACAGCCUAUCAGAAAAUCGACUAACUACUCCCAUGGCUGCCUUUGGAAAGCAUGCCAUGAACUCUUCAUCUUCUCUGGCUUGUGAUGAACUUCAGUUUGCUGCAUUGCCUCUUAUAGCACACUGGAUUAAUAUUUCAUGGCAGUCGGUAGGCGAUCAACCCUGCACUCAAGUUGAGUCGGAAUGAGAAUGGCGAUAGCUUCAACUAUUUAUUCAGAAAGGGUUCAGUGAAUGGAAGUUCAGUGUGCUUGCCUGCCUAACUGGAGUAGUUCAGGCUCCUGCAGCAGCAAAUCUUGUAGACUCCCAGCCCUAGCAUCGCUGCAUCCAGCAGAAAAACAAUGGAUUUCACUUUCAGCAACAUCGAAUCGAAACAAAGCCGAACCUGAGUAUGGGAUAAAAAGUAUCACCAAACAAGGUCACUGAUAGGAGCGCACCUGACAUCCAGGGAGAGAAGUCUGUGGUGAAUUGAGUUAUCGGAGCCAACAUAGGUGACAACGAGGCUUCCAGCAUCUGGAUGUGGCCAGCUUCGUGUGGUAGGGAAUCUGAGAACGAAUGUUCCCGGCUUCUUGAGCAGUUCCCUGGAGCUUCUUAGCGCAUUCUCAGCUUCCUCUGUUGUAAUCAAUCCCUCUAUCCACACAGGUGCAGUGCAACCCCAUAGGCUGUUGAUUUUAUCUUUCGACAGAGAAACGGCCACUGGGUAUAGCCAAUACCAUAGCCUAUCAAAUUCGUUCCUUCCAAGAUCAUCCCCACAGCCAGCAAUUCCUCUUAAAACCUCCAGAUCCUAUAAUGAAUAGUACGUGCUAUGGAAUCAAACAUCUAUUCUUGUGCUACUCACAAAUAAUUGACAACAGAACCCUCCUACUGAGUUAAUGUAUAACCCUCUCAAAAAAUGAGGGGUAAAGGUGUUAAGAGACCUCAUACAGAAGUAAAUGGAUCUACCUGCUCUGACAAACCUCUGUUUGUAGAAUGGGCAAUGUCCAUAAAAUUUGACAUGAUUUCAGGAACUGCGGAUGACCAAAGAGCACGCUCCUUGUUCUUUGAGAUUAUGCUCCAAGUUACAGCACCCUCUUCAAGCAAUUGCUUUGAAAUUAAUAUUUGGUUUCUUUAGAAGGAAAAUGCAAAUGCAUGUUAUUGUUAGUGAUAAAGAGGGAGAGGAACCUCCUUAUCUUAUAAAAUACAUAAAACAAAAAAUAUAAGACUACCUGUGAUGGGAGCAUCCACUAUACAAAGAGACCUCAUUUGCAAGUGUGAUCAAAUCGUCCACAUUGAUGGAAGAAGCUGCACCUUUAAGAAAUGUUGACCGCUCAUACGUUCCUUCUAGACAAUAUCUGAAGAUCAUAGCAUCUGAAAGAGUUUCAGCUUCAUCCUUAUCUGAUCCACUCCAAGAACUUCUCGCAUCAAUGCUGUCGGAGUCUGACAUCGUAGAUUCAGUUCUGACACUUUGUGCUUCCACUACCAUCUUUCUAGCCUGCUUACUCUGCAAACAAACCAUUAACUACGAAGUUCAAGUGAAUUAAUCACAAUUUCAGAAGUACCACAAUCUAGCAGAUUGACUACCUGGGAUACCAUUUUGUGAGUCUCUGUUCCAUCGCCUUCUACCUUGAGAAACUUGGAUGGAUGCAAACAUGCCACUGAACUUUGAUCCUGAGACAGUGAGCAAGCAUUUGCUUUGCCAUCACGAUCAAGCCCUUGUCCAUUGUUAAGCAAGUGAAUUUCAUCGACUGUUGCAGAACUUGUCCGCUUUGCAGCACUCAAUGGACGGCUGGGGCGGCCUCGGGAUAUACAGCGAAUUGGCUUGGAAGAUGCCUCCAGAAAAGGAUAUUUGCGCGUGUGAAGUGUUGAGAAAUAAAUGCGGAACAGCUUAUUGUCACAUUUAGAAGAGAGCUGCAACAAUCGGAUCAAAUAUCAUGAAAGAAGAUCAACCAAGCAAAAUCAUAGCAUAAAAUCCAGUUAAAAAAAUCAUAAAAUCGUAUAUGUAGGUUCAUUGAGACAAACAUGGUAUUUCUGACAGUAUAAGCCUUCACUUGUACAUACUACAUAGCACCUGCGCAAAUCCAGGGCCAUACUGGGCCACAACAAAAGCUUCUAUAGACAUUUCAGCCUUUUCUUUCUUUUUGGCAGAUAUGUAUUUCAGAUUCAAGUGAAUUUAACAGAAGUAAUUAAAUAUGGUGGAAAAUGAAUAAAUAUUCAAGGCACAUGGCAUAAAUAGCAACCUUUUUUUCCCCNNNNNNNNNNNNNNNNNNNNNNNNNNNNNNNNNNNNNNNNNNNNNNNNNNNNNNNNNNNNNNNNNNNNNNNNNNNNNNNNNNNNNNNNNNNNNNNNNNNNNNNNNNNNNNNNNNNNNNNNNNNNNNNNNNNNNNNNNNNNNNNNNNNNNNNNNNNNGUUCAAAACAAGAUGCUGUAAGUGUUUAACUAAGAUGGAGCAUUGCGUAGCAGUCUGCUUCAGGAUCAUAAUGGCUGCUGUAUUAUAGAUACGGCCUCAUACCACUAUGUUGCUGCUACAGAGCAAUAACAAAACUAAAGCAAUCAAUUUUUGUAGGAAUUCAGCAUAUGGAGAAACCCACCUGAGAUAUCUUGAGCUUAAAUAGUGCACGCCCACGAAGAAUUGGAAGAGGCCUGCUUUCAGCUGGGUAUUCAAGUCCUUCGCAAGCAAUCAGUAGGGGAGGUUCUGCAUCAUCCCUUGAUUUCUCGACUAAUGCUCCAUUGUCAGCAUAGACGAGUGAAGCAACAAUCUAGAAGACGAUUCAUUUCUUAAGUAAGCAAACAAACAAGUAGCACACUUGCUAAAUGUACCAAAAAAGAAGAUAAAUCAAAAAACCUGUGUAUCCUUGUUCAUAUGUUCACCAAAAGCGUUUGUUAGUACUACUUCCAACAUGAAGUUCCUCCGACAAGAAGCCUACAGAAACCAAUUUCGACCAUUACAACAACAGUCAGGGGUUAUUUAGGAUUAUUAUGUGUUUUGUACAUAGAAUAAACAUAGCUCGGCAUUAUCUUCUGCAACUCACUGCAGCUCUCAGGUUAUCUUUCACAUUUUUACAGGUUAAACAUAAUAGAAAUGCAGAAACAUUUCUUGCUGUGCGUAAAAUAGCUGAAAUAAAGAUAGGAUAAAUAGUUUGUGUCAGGAGACAUAAUUUGGUCUACCUUCCCACCGACAAUGCACCAAAUGCCAUCAUCGCCCUCCUCAAUUCCGUCGCAGCAUGAGUAGUCAAUAGAUAGCUUAGACGGUGGAUUCUGCAAAAAACAAUUGUAAGUUUUCACCUUUACAGAAGAAGAAAAAAUAAUGCCUUACUAUUAGCUAAGCUGCAUCACCUCUGCGUACUGCUCCUGUAUGGUUCCUAUCAUAGAUAGCACUUGGAUAUUGUACACAUAGCCAUCGACCUUGCCAUUGUUUCCAAGCAAGCAAACUUGGUAUGCAUCAUCUUGAUUGUCUGGCUGGCUAGAUAGUGAACAAAGAUGAGCCUCGGCAACUAGAUCGCCAUCAAUGUGAAGGCGCAUAACAUUUUCAGUAACCUGACAUGGGUGCAUAGUUUUACAAAACAGAUUAAAUAAAGCAAUUGUUGUAAACGUAAAGGAAGAUUGCCAUUUGGAGCAUGUCAGUGUGUUGCACAUAAGUCAAAAACAAGUAUAUGAGGGAGAAAAAUAGGAAGUGUGGAAAAACAUUAAAUGGACACCUCUGCUGACUCAACCAAUCCAAGGAUAUUGAGCAACGCAAAAGGCAUGUUACAGACAUUCAUGCUUGCAGCAUACCUCGCAUCCAACGUGUAUCCAGUGCUCAAGAGGGCAUUCAUUUACAGCCGAUAUAUAGGUCGUAUCAGUCCAUGGAGAGGAAUUAGAGGAACUAGGAGCUUGCUUGUGCAACCUCAGCAAUGGGAAGAGAAGCAGCUUAUUUCCUUCACUUAAAGCAAGAAAUGGCAACUUAUUGCCAUCUCCUGCAGUUAUCUGCAAAAAAUUGAGAAUUCCCAUCAGUUCAAUACAAAUCUUGGCAGAAGUACACAUGGAAACCUAGAAUUGCAGUUCAGAUCUUAUUGCCGAACAAAAAACAUUCUUCUUACACCCAUCCAAAAAAGAGCGUGACGAGAACAGAGUGUCGCUCCGUUGGCAAGGCGUGCAAGUGCGCAACCAGCCCGCCCACGUUCGAGUCUCGGGCUCCCCGAGGUGCUCAGGGUUAUUUCUAAUAUUAAAAUGUGCCGCCAAGGGCUAGUCCUGGCUUGUCACAAUUAAAAAGAGAUGUAGAACCCAUUUUUAAUGGCCCAGUGAAGAUUUUGCAUACUGCUCAGUGUGCCACAGAAUGGGCGCCAACCUCUCACACAGAUCGACCAAUGAAUCCGUAUAAUUGAAAUGCACCAACGACCUACCAAUUGCAGGCUGCAGCAUCCACAGCACAACCAUAAGCACGCGUAACAGCAGACCGAUAAACUCCCCUCCCUAAGAUAUAAUUUGCUCCUCGUGCGCAAUCACAAAAUCAAAAUUUCUAUCAGUUCAAUACAAGUCUCGGGCUCUCGGCAGACUACACAUGGAAACCUAGGAUUGCAUUUCAGGUCUAAUCGCCAAAACAAAAACAUUCUUCUUACACCCAUCCUAAAUAAAUCACUAAGAACUUUCCCGCGCUAAAAAAGAGAUGGUGAUAAGAACAGGGUCUCGCUCCGUUGGCAAGGCGUGCGAGUGCGCAAUCAGCCCGCCCAUGUUCGAGCCCUGGACUCCGCGAGGUGCUCAGGGUUGUUUCUUUUAGUAAAAUAUAUGCUGCCAAGGGCCAGUCCUGGCUAGUCUCUCGAUUAAAAAGAGAUGUAUAUAGCAGCACCCAUUCUUAACUGUCCUAUCAAGAUUUUGCCAUACUGCUAGUGCUCAGUGUGCCACAGGAUGGGCCUGUGAACCCAUCACAUGGACCGACUGAUGAAUCCUAUAAUGUAAAUGCACCAACCACCUACCAAUUGCAGGAUGUACCACGGGACAACCAUAAGCACGCGUUACGGCAGACCGAGAAACUCCCCUCCCCCAAAAGAUAGAAUUCGCUCUUCGCGCGCACUCACAAGUCAGAAAAUCAAAAUUCCUACAGCAACGUAAGGCCUAACGAUCUCCUAAAACAGGGGAACGACCAAAUUACUCGAAUCUAGUCGAACCUGGUGAAGGAUAACCGGGGAAGGCCUCGCGGAGCCGGAGAGGUAGAGCCAGAAGCAGACGGCGAAUCCUCCGCCCGCGCCCGCGCCUCCUUCUCCCCCGCCUCGGGCCUUACCCAGGUCCAGCUCGACCCGCACGUCGCGGAGGCCGAGGUAGCCCUCGAUUUCACCGGGUUCUGCCGGCGCCGCCAUCCCGGGACCGCCGCACCGUGGUUCGGCGGAGGCAAGGGUUUUCUUGGUCCCGCUUCCGCUCCGAAAUGGUGUGUCAUAACGGUUUGUUCGGUGACGGCCGGGGGAGUGGGAUACUGCUAUCUGCAGCCGUUGGAUAUGAAAACUGGGGUUGCUCCUGGCCGUCAGAUGCCAAGCGGUUGAUUCCACGUUUUUUCAUCUCCAAGGCUCUAAAUAAAAAAAAGGGAAAACGUAGGAUUGAGAUGUCUUAUCAUCAUCUAAUUCAUUGUGCUUCUUGAUUUUGACCCUCCCUAUCCAUUCAAUUGAGAUUUUUAAUUUGAAUUUGGUUCAUGAUUUUUAUCGUGUCAACUAUUUCUCAACGACUUCUCUCUUUCAUUUGAGGUACUUAAUAUUAGAUUUAGUUCAUGAUUUUGACUGUAUCAAUGAUUAAUAGGCAGGAACCAGCCUGUAAAAACAUAUCAGUCCCCUGAACCAACAAAAAAACACAUGAUUUCUCAUAGCAUCUUUUUUUUUUCCUAAAUCAUCUAAUUCACCAUGCUUCCUAAUUUUGAAGCCCACCCAUUUAAAUUGAGAUGUUUAAUUUUAAAUUUGGUUCAUGAUCUUAACUAGAUCAACUAUUUCUUAACGAGCUCUUUCAUUCAGUUGAGGAAUUUAGUUUUGGAUUUGAUCAUGAUUUUGACUAGGCCAACGAUCACAUAAAUUAAUCAGCAACAACUACUAUGUAAAACACAUCAGUAUUGUGCGCCCUCUCACCAUCUAAAGGAACAUAUCAGUCUUCACAACAUCUAUUUUUCUUUGAAUCAUAUUACAUACACUAUGCUUCCUAAUUUUCAAGGGCUCAUAAUCAAUCGAGGUCUUCAAUUUGGAAUUGGGUCAUCCAAUUUUAACUGAGUCAACAAUUUCUCAAGGAGCUUUGUCAUUCAAUUAUUUUAAUUUAAUAUGCUCUCUAAUUUACUCAUGUUCGAUUGAGCUAUAAAUUUUUUAGAUUAGGUUCAUAUUUUAACGGGCUCAGCGAUUUUUCAAAUCAACCGUCAGCAACCAGCCUAUAAAUAAAUGUCAACCGCGCACCAUCUCGCCACCUAUAAAAAAGAAACACCAACAUGUGGUACUGUAAUACCAAUAUACUAGCACACCGGUGCAGAAAAAUUCCCCACAUAAAUAUGGCUUGAUUAGCAGAUAAUACAGUCACAUCGUGAAAGGCCCACCAAAACACUGCAUUACAAAUAAAAAUAAAACACACUCCAUCAUCUGCCCCACUCGUCAAACCAAAUAUUCUCUCACUUCCAAGAUAUAAAGGGCAUUAGUUUUUGGAAAAAGCCGGUUUUUUAAUUCGACCAAGUCCAGAGCCAAAAAUAUUGACAUCCAUAAUACUAAUUAAAUAGAAUACAAAAAUUCAUUUCAUGAUGAACCUAAUGAUACCGAUUUGAUUAUGGAUAUUGAUAUAUUCUCUACAAAUUUGGCCAAAUUUCAAGAGAUUUGACUUUUUUGAAAAAACUAAUACAUCCUAUAUUUUGAGACAAAGGGCGUAAAAUAUGCUCCCCAAUUUUGGACCCCUUCCCAUUCAAUUGAGGUGUUCAGUUUUGGAUUUAGUUCAUGAUUUUGACUUGGUCAACUAUUUCUUAGCGAGCCCUCUCAUUCGGGAAUCUAAUUCAUUAUGCUCCCUAAUUUUAGAGCCCUCCAUUCAAUUUGAGAUGUUCAAUUUUUGAUUUUGUUCACGUGACCAGGUCAACUAUUUCUCAACGAGCUCGCUCUUUUAGUUGAGGUAUUCAAUUGUGGAUGCGAUUCAUGAUUUGAACUGGGUCAAUGAUUUAGCAUAUUAAUCAGCAAUAACCAGCCUGCAAAACACAUCAACCCCGUGAACCCUCUCACCACUAAAAAUACAUCAGUUCUCAUAAGACCUAGUUUCUCUGGAUCAUCUAUCUAAUUCACUGUGCUCCCUAGUCUUGGAGCCCUCUUGCUCAAUUGAGGUGUGUAAUUUUGGAUUUGGUUCAUGAUUUUGCCUGGAGUCAACUAUUUUCACCAUGAGCUCUCUUAUUCGGUUGAGAUAUUCAAUUUUGGAUUUGAUUCACGAUUUUGAAUGGGUCAAUGACUUCAUAAAUUAAUCGUCAUGUAAACACAUCAGUCAUGUACACCCUCUUACCAUCUAAAAGAACAUAUCAAUCCCCAUAACACCUAUUUUUCUCAGGAACAUCUAAUUCACUAUGCACCCUAAUUUUGGACCCCUCCCAUUCAAUUGAGGUGUUUAAUUUUUGGAUUUUGUUCAUGAUUUGACAUGGUCAACUAUUUCUCAACAAGCCCUCACAUUCAAGCGAGAGAUUCAAUUUUGGAUUUGAUUCAUGAUUUUGACUGGAUCAAGACUUCUGAAGAAUUUUUAUAUGAAUGAAAUAUGAUCCCUAACACUCUCAACACCCUCCCCCUCUUUAUAGCGUGGCUUCGCUACGACUCAAAUAAAAUCAAAAAACUUCUGAGCCUUCAACACCAAAACGUUAAUUGGGAGAUAAUGCACUUUCAACACCCCUUAGGUUUCUAUAGUUUUAGGGGGUGGGGGCGUUGAUUCUACUUCACCAUUCAAGAGGGUGUCAACAAGUUUUGUGGAGCAUAUGCACAAAGCCACAAAUGCAAAAUCGGUGGUCAAGUGGCGUGAGACUCCAUGAGCGGGCAAGUUUUGCUUCGCUAUGUUGCAUGUGUUGAUCAUGUGACUGUUUUGCUCUAUGUUGCAAUGUGUUGAUCAUGUGAUUGUAUUUCUUUGCUAGCCCGACCUUGCGACGACAUUGUAAAAGACGAGGGUGAAGCCAUUCAUGAUGCUUCAUUGUUGGAGCAAGUUGAAUGGCCAAAUCAAGUGGAGUGGUAUACCCAAUUACGUCAAGACCGCCAUCACCAAAGGGGAUGAAGUUGGUGAAACAAGCGAUGAAAUGGGGGAGGGCUUGUACCGGCCACCAGUGUGCCGAGGUCGAGUGAGAAGAAACAUGAGAAUGAAGGUGAAGCGUGAAGGGAUGUCGACCAAGAUGACAGACAAGUGAGAGGACAUCAUGUUGAAGAAGAUGAGGCAAAGGCCAAGGAGAAGAAAAGGCGAAGAUGUUUAACACGUUCAUGGAGAUGCAAAAAAGAAAAAGUUGACCUCGAGAAGAAAAAGCUUGCCGUCAAGCAAGCAUGCAAGUCCAAGGUCUUAUACGUGAAGACUGGUGACUUGGAUCCCGAUGUGGCGAAGUUUGUACACCAAUAGCGUAGCAGCAUCUUCGCAAACUAUGCGGAGGCAAAAAUGAUUCAUUCGGUUCGAAAAAUCAGUCCUUCUGCUUGUUUGAUGGAUGCUAAUUAUAAAACUUGUUGAACAUACAAUGAAAUUGCUUCUGGUUGUAUUUGUUGUAGGUACUAAAUAUAUCGUUAAAAUGUUACUGAUUGAUUUAACUCAGUAAAGGAAAAAGACCAUAUAAAUAAAAAAUAUUUGAGGAAUAACUUUAAAUGGCGCAAAUGUCCGUAAACAUUUGAAAAUGUCGACGUGGGAGAAGCUCUGAAACCCGUCUUCACUCUUUCAGCAGGAAGCAGAAUCGUGAGUCAUGAGAAGAUCCCAUCCGAUCGGAGCCGUCCAUUGCCAUCACCACACAGUCCGUUCAUACCCAUCCCAUUCCCGUCCGUCCACAGGCUCUGUUCUCCAGUGAUUCCGUUUUCCACCUAUAAAAAUGAGGAGUAUGCACGGAGACGACCUCCUCGACUCACCGCCGGCCACGCGCGCUCACCCCCUCCGUACGAGCCACCCGCCGUCCUCCGCCGUCAGCUUCAACCCCAACAGGUUCUCUCCUCCCCUCCUCCACCUUUCUCUCUCCUGCUCCUGUAGAUGGUUAAAUCCGAUCAACAAAGAAGCCGCAAGAUACAGGCAUGGCUCGCGACCAUUAUACGAGUAGAAGGAUGCGCCCGCCCUUUUCUGAGACGGCGAAAAACGACCGGCGACGGCGGGUACGCGGGCGGCGUGGGGUCCCGCCGAUCUCCCUCCCACCUUCCUUGACCAAGCGAGUGCGCUUCGGCAGCUAAAGGCGCCGGGGAUUAGACUGGGUUCACAAUUAGUUUAGUGUCCAUGUCAAAAAGGCCAGCUCCUUUGCACUAGCUUCUCUUCUGGAAAUUCAUUUGUUUAUCCAGUAGCAGCCUAAUUAGCAGACGCCACAUGUUUCGCUAAGCGCCGUGCUGAUUGAAAUGGUGCCGUCACCGCUGUCUGCAUCUACUUAAUUAUUUCACUGGUUAGUUAGCUCUUCUGUUAAAUUCUGGUGGUGGCUCCACACUUUGGCUCUUCUUUUGGAUUUUGAUCCCACUGAUUGGCUAUUGUUGUCUUGGGCUCUUGAUCUUGCUUUCAGCUGGUAUACCCUAUCCCUGCGUAUGAUCACUUCACUGAUCAGUAUAGUUAGUUCAGUACCCCAUGUGUAUGUGCCAGGAAUCUUUUUUCAGAGUUCUUUAUGUGCCCUUCAGUAUAUAACCAGCUAUGUUAUUUUCACCUUUUGUUAAAAUUUUGAGCUAGUGUUUUUUCUUCUUACUUUCUGAACUUUGCUGGGCACUACUAAUAUGUUUUGAACUCGUUGGGAUUGGCUAGAGAAAGGAGUUUGUGAAUUUUCAAAAAGAUUUUCCAUGACCUUGUGCGGUACUAAUAUGUUUUUGAUGUGAUUGGUCCAGCUUCACCCAACAAAUAUACCCCCAAUCUAUCUCUUUGUCCUGCUCAUUGUCUGGUUCCUAUUGCUUCCUGAUUUUAUAAGGCAUGGAUUGGUGGCGAUUGAUUUUGAAAAACUACUCUCUUUUUCUGUGGCAGUGCUCUUACAUCUCUUGUAGCUAGCUGGAAAAGCGAGCUUGCAUGAUGGAGGACUCUUCAACUAGGAGCCAUGUUUUUGAGGGGAAUCGGCUGGGCUAUGUAAGAAGUGAAUCCAUGGAUUCCGCUGGCCAUCCUUCGGCUGCUAGGUCAGGCUCACUGCUAAGUAGGAGAAGUAGCAGGCCCAGUUCAAGGGGAUCCAUCAGCCUCUCUCGCGAGAUGGGCGACUCGAUCCUGAACUCAAUGAGGCAUUCCCUUCAGUCAGCAGACCAGUUGCUUGGUCAUGCUGAUAGCUCGGCUUUGGCUCAGGUCAUUGACAGUGGUGACCGAGUGCUAGCCUUGGAAGAUGAGGCCGAUGAAGAUAUGGCAAAUACAUUGGAUCAACAUCCUGUCCGAGAUAAUCGAAUCCAUGGCUACAGCUCACAUGGCACAGGUCUGCCAGCACCUGAGUCUUCUCUGGAGCCAAAGGGCGAGAGCUCAUCAGGCAAGGUACAAAAUUGUACUUUGAGUUGAGUGAUUGCUUGCAAUAAUCAAUCAAAUGAUUAUGCUGUCUAGCACUAUUGCAAGGCUGUACGUUGUGCUAUAGAUUCUAAAAUGAACAUGUCUAUGCUUUCCUGCAGGUUGAACAAUAUAUGCUUUCUCGGAGGCUAGAUUAUGCUUCUUACCUGAUCCAUUUAGCCGCCUUUGGAUCAUUCGGGGUAACUCUCCAAAUCGUUGUCUACUGUUGUUUGUAUUAGGUAUUAAUUACUAAGUGGUCUUCCUUAGUGUACAUAAAUGUAGCGGAAGAUUGAUGAAAGUUCAGGGGACAUUUUUACUUUAAACCCAUGCAUGCGUUCAGAAAACAUUUACCGUGGUACCAUCCCUUUCCAUUACCAUAAUUAUGUUUUUGAUGUCCAAAUUAGGUAUUUACAAGGUACGGGCUCCAAAAGCUGUUCGGCCCAGGCUGCCUGGCACUCACCUCCAACCAAAGCCCGUUGUACCUUGAUCUUCCAUCAAACAUGGUAUGUUCUAUCCUGUACCUGCUCAAGUAAAAAAAACACCAGGGAUUUGGGCUGUACUGACGCAUGUUAAUGCCCAAAUGUUUGUGCAUCAGCUAGGAUCCUUCCUGAUGGCCUGGUUUGGGAUAAUCUUUAAGACUGACAUUCGGCACAUAUCUGAACAUCUCAUUGUUGGAAUCACAACCGGAUACAUGGGAAGCCUUACCACCUUCAGUGGGUGGAAUCAAGCGAUGGUUAGCAUGUCUUCCAAAGACCAUUGGGCAUAUGCCAUAGCUGGCAUAGUAUUAGGUACCUCAUCAUAAUUUUCUAUAAAGUGCUAUUAGUCCAAAAUUAGUUACCGCUAAGUAAAGACAUAAGGGAAAUCAUUCUUUUGAUGAUUAACAACACUAACCUACUCAGGAAUGUUCAUCGUCAAUGAGUCCAUCAGGGUGGGCGCCGAAACAGGUGAGCGCCUACGAAGCUGGAUCCUGAAAUGCAUCAAGGAAAAUAGUUCAAUAGGAAGCAACUGUAACUGGGAGCAGCUGAAAGUCAACACUAGGACUAAACAUUUUGUGCUUAUAGCAGUUAUGAUGAUUUUGCUUUCUUUUGUGUGGGUUCUGAGUAUCGUGUUGGCCAUAAUAAAGGUGCGCAAUCUUGAUGAUGGCGCUGUACUAUGGUUGGGGUGCUCGGUUGCGCCUCCAGGCGUUUGGUUACGCUGGUACUUGGCAAGGCUCAAUGGCCAGGGAAUCGGCAAACAGAGAUCCCUCAAAUGGCUGCCCAUUGGGACACUUGUAGCCAAUGUUCUUGCUGCGGGUAUCAUGGCAUCACUGGCUGUGACCGCCAAAGCGGUAUGAUAGCUAAAGCAUGUGUUUAUACGGUUUAUGUAAAUUGCGUUGCUAUCUCUCUGAUUGGUUUAGUCUUUCUGUAGGUGAAUACAAAGCGUUCGACAACUGUUCUUAAUGGCAUACAGUUUGGUUUCCUUGGCUGCUUGAGCACAGUGUCUACUUUUGCUGCUGAAAUCUAUGCUAUGCGAAGCAGCGGACAGAUUGGUAGGGCCUUUGUCUAUGCUGCAGCGACCUUCGUGCUCUCUUUCGUGCUGGGAACUCUGGUAUACUCUGUGCCAGUAUGGGUCAAUCAUUACCAAUAGCUUCAUGAAGUAUUACAGACUUGAAGGCUUUGGCAUCAUUUUGCUGGUUGCAACAUCCAAGCAGAUAGCGCAAUUCUCAACAUACAUAGUUAGGCUUUUCUAGGGAAUUUUGUCUGCUUCUUUAAGAUAUUUGAUGUACCAUGUACGUUGUUGAACAUGAUGGCAUUUUGCAGCAGAAACAUGUUUGUACACAACAUCUGCCAUUGUAAUCCUGUGAACAACAACAUCCAUAUUUAUGGAGUAUGUAUAUGAAAUGUUACAGUUUAUAUCUUAGGUACGCAUAUGAAAUGAAUGUAUCACCUGUAGAAGCAAAAGAAAAACAACAUCCAUGUUUAUGGAUUAGCUUUGUCACACAUAUUUGUACACAAACAACAUACAUGAUUUAUGCACCAGCAUCAGAAAUAUAUUGCUAAAUUUGCAAUAGCCUAUGUUUAUUUGUUUCAUCUGCCAUGUAAUCCUGUGGACACAACUACAUGCUAACCUGAGCAAAAUCAUAUUUCCUUGCUGUAAUGCAAGGUAUCUGUACAUCAUUUUCUAAAACUGGACACAGAUGCAGAUACAAUAUGGAUGAUGAAUUAUUUGUACCUACAAACUUUCAAGUGAAUGUAGCGCAGAAAAAUAGUAAUGCUGAGCUUCCUGUUUCGGUGUGUCCUGUGUCCAUUGGCAUGUGACAUGACAAAGCGAUGUUAGCUUGACAAUAUUUGUGAAAUCGCUUUUUCACUCUUUACUUGGUAUGCCAAGCCGCAGCAUUAUUUGCUCAAGAAUAUCCGUUCCCUCUUCCUUCAAUUACACCAGGCCCAGCAGAACGCCCAUGUCUGCAGGUCCCUUCACCACCGAUUCUUUAUGAUGCCACUGCUACAUCACACUUGUUCAGGGAUGCACUUAUCCAGUCUCUGUUCACAAAAGAAUGUCUCCUGUGCAAAGAACAAACAGCUUUCACCAUGCCAAAGUUCUUAUCACAAAGUAAUUUGUCUGCCUGAGCCUUCUUCAACAUGGGAGUCAAGGGAGAUAACCUCGCAAAACAAACUUUGAAGAGCAAGCACUCAUUUAU